rnacentral:rRNA from 1 species
CGAAUUCGCCCUUCCUACGGGAGGCAGCAGUGGGGAAUAUUGCGCAAUGGGCGGAAGCCUGACGCAGCGACGCCGCGUGGGGGAUGACGGCCUUCGGGUUGUAAACCUCUUUCGACUUCGACGAAGCCUUUCGGGGUGACGGUAGGGGCGGAAGAAGCACCGGCCAACUACGUGCCAGCAGCCGCGGUAACACGUAGGGUGCGAGCGUUGUCCGGAAUUAUUGGGCGUAAAGAGCUCGUAGGCGGUGUGUCGCGUCGGCCGUGAAAACUUGCAGCUUAACUGUGGGCGUGCGGUCGAUACGGGCAUCACUGGAGUUCGGCAGGGGAGACUGGAAUUCCUGGUGUAGCGGUGAAAUGCGCAGAUAUCAGGAGGAACACCGGUGGCGAAGGCGGGUCUCUGGGCCGAUACUGACGCUGAGGAGCGAAAGCGUGGGGAGCGAACAGGAUUAGAUACCCUGGUAGUCCACGCUGUAAACGUUGGGCGCUAGGUGUGGGGACCAUUCCACGGUUUCUGUGCCGCAGCUAACGCAUUAAGCGCCCCGCCUGGGGAGUACGGCCGCAAGGCUAAAACUCAAAGGAAUUGACGG